rnacentral:rRNA from 2 species
CAAGCAGCUUGCUGCUUUGCUGACGAGUGGCGGACGGGUGAGUAAUGUCUGGGGAUCUGCCUGAUGGAGGGGGAUAACUACUGGAAACGGUAGCUAAUACCGCAUAACGUCGCAAGACCAAAGAGGGGGACCUUCGGGCCUCUUGCCAUCAGAUGAACCCAGAUGGGAUUAGCUAGUAGGUGGGGUAACGGCUCACCUAGGCGACGAUCCCUAGCUGGUCUGAGAGGAUGACCAGCCACACUGGAACUGAGACACGGUCCAGACUCCUACGGGAGGCAGCAGUGGGGAAUAUUGCACAAUGGGCGCAAGCCUGAUGCAGCCAUGCCGCGUGUAUGAAGAAGGCCUUCGGGUUGUAAAGUACUUUCAGCGAGGAGGAAGGCGGUAAGGUUAAUAACCUUAUCGAUUGACGUUACUCGCAGAAGAAGCACCGGCUAACUCCGUGCCAGCAGCCGCGGUAAUACGGAGGGUGCAAGCGUUAAUCGGAAUUACUGGGCGUAAAGCGCACGCAGGCGGUCUGUCAAGUCGGAUGUGAAAUCCCCGGGCUCAACCUGGGAACUGCAUUCGAAACUGGCAGGCUAGAGUCUUGUAGAGGGGGGUAGAAUUCCAGGUGUAGCGGUGAAAUGCGUAGAGAUCUGGAGGAAUACCGGUGGCGAAGGCGGCCCCCUGGACAAAGACUGACGCUCAGUGCGAAAGCGUGGGGAGCAACAGGAUUAGAUACCCUGGUAGUCCACGCCGUAAACGAUGUCGACUUGGAGGUUGUU